CAAUUCCCAAAAGCAGCCGUUUCCCUCUCCCCAAAAAGAUCUAAUUGGAAAAGGAUGUAAUUCCAUUCCACAAAAUCUCCCUCGCCUCCCUUCAUAACUCUGUUGUUCCCCUCUCAGCUCCCACAUUAUUACUUUAUGAUAUAAAACAAAAGGAACAAACAAAUCUCUACAAAAAACCAAUCAUUAGAACAAACAAACAUAAUCCCCAAAAAAAAAGGUAAAAAAACAGACUCCUCCUAUUUUAUGCGAACACAGCGCCCAACCCCUUUCUUUCUUAGAUUUCCAGCCGGAAAAUCCAAAGAAACGGCGACACUUGCUUUCAACAAAACUGCCACUACAGUGAAGUUGCACUAAAGUUCCGUCCGUCGAGUUCGCUGCCAUCGUUGGAGUCUCGGUCAUGGUUCAGUGAUUCAACGGUCAUCGACUUUUUGUCGGAGUUUGUCUCUGUUGCUAUAUAAUUUGCUUUGGAGAUAAUUUUAUCAAAAGGUUCGCCUCUCAAACUUGUUCUUAACUUCAUACAUUAGUGUUAAUUUUAAUAAAUGUUAAAUCAAGUUUGUGCUUAUUUUGUGAUAGAAUGCCUUUUCUUUAGUUUACUAUGUUGUUUGCUAUGAUGUCUACUAGAUUUGAUGUGUUAAGCAUAUUAAAAUGGUGUCAGUUUGCUUUUUUUUUUUUAUAUAGUUUUAUUAAUAUUGGCUAUGACUCUUUUAUUUGUAGUUUAAAUGCAAAUGAAUAUAAAUAUUGGGAAUGAAGGCAAAGUUAUAGAGUACAGUUUUCGAGGCCAAGAGGAGUUCGAUGUUUAGUCUUUUAGGAAUUAUAUAGCAAUUAGGCAGUUGCCUAUUUACCCAUUGUUACGUGUAUUUAGUGAAAGGAAUAUUUCAAAUCAAUAAUAGUUUCCAUUCAGGUGUAAAAAAAAAAUGGGGCAAAGCUAUCAUGUAAGAUCUUUGAAGCCUACAGUUUUAUAUUAGGCUACUAAUGUGUACAAUAACAUCUAAUGUAAGG
rnacentral:lncRNA from 1 species